AUCUCUGAGUUAGAGUAAACUGUCAAGACUUAAAACUUACUUACUUUACCUUCACUAUGGGACUUGUAACUGUCACUUCUGUCUUGAGUGGUUAAAAGAUAGAACAGUCUAGCCAAGUGCCAUGUCUCUUAUUCUUGAUCAGCUAUAGCUCUGGGGUUUUUGCAGAUUUUCAAAUAAAACUCAGAAUUCCUUGUAUGAUUCUCUCAGGUCUCUCUUUUGUGGUAUUUUUGGAUCCUUACCAAGGCAUUGAUGGUAUAUGCCUUCUCUCAAGAUAUGUGGUAUUUGUGGUAUGAGGCAUAGUAACAUUGCCUUCUCUCUCAUCCUACUCUAAUAAGGCUUUAAUAUCUGGAGCUCAUAGGUGGGAGAUAAAAUAUACAUACUUACAAGACAUGUAUUGCAUAGUCAAACCAUGGAUCCAAAGUAACAAGUCAAUAAGUUUAAUCAAGAUGUGCAUGUGUGGCGAAUGAAUGGUAUAUGGUGAUGAUGGUGAUAACAAUGGUGAAAACAAUGGUGAAAACAAUGGUGGUGAAAGUCUAAUUCUACUUUGCUCUUCUG
rnacentral:lncRNA from 1 species